AGUCGAGCGGUAACAGGAAUUAGCUUGCUAAUUUGCUGACGAGCGGCGGACGGGUGAGUAACGCGUAGGAAUCUGCCUGGUAGUGGGGGACAACAUGUGGAAACGCAUGCUAAUACCGCAUACGCCCUACGGGGGAAAGGAGGGGAUCUUCGGACCUUUCGCUAUCAGAUGAGCCUGCGUGAGAUUAGCUAGUUGGUGGGGUAAAGGCUCACCAAGGCGACGAUCUCUAGCUGGUCUGAGAGGAUGAUCAGCCACACUGGGACUGAGACACGGCCCAGACUCCUACGGGAGGCAGCAGUGGGGAAUAUUGGACAAUGGGGGCAACCCUGAUCCAGCCAUGCCGCGUGUGUGAAGAAGGCCUUAGGGUUGUAAAGCACUUUCAGGAGUGAGGAAGGGUGUACGGUUAAUACCCGUAUAUUUGACGUUAACUCCAGAAGAAGCACCGGCUAACUCUGUGCCAGCAGCCGCGGUAAUACAGAGGGUGCGAGCGUUAAUCGGAAUUACUGGGCGUAAAGC
rnacentral:rRNA from 1 species